GAACCCGUGGCGCAGCCCGGUAGCGCAUCGCUCUGAUACGGCGAGGGUCCCAAGUUCAAAUCUUGGCGGGUUCA
rnacentral:tRNA from 1 species